GAUGAACGCUAGCGGCAGGCCUAACACAUGCAAGUCGAGGGGUAACAUAGAAAAGCUUGCUUUUCUGAUGACGACCGGCGCACGGGAGCGUAACGCGUAUACAACCUACCUUUUAGCGGGGAAUAGCCCAAGGGAAACUUGGAUUAAUGCCUCAUAGUAUAUAAGCUUCUCCUGAAGUUUAUAUUAAACAUUUAUGGCUAUUAGAUGGGUAUGCGUCCUAUUAGUUAGUUGGUAAGGUAACGGCUUACCAAGGCAGCGAUAGGUAGGGGUCCUGAGAGGGAGAUCCCCACACUGGUACUGAGACACGGACCAGACUCCUACGGGAGGCAGCAGUGAGGAAUAUUGGACAAUGGGCGAGAGCCUGAUCCAGCCAUGCCGCGUGCAGGAAGACUGCCCUAUGGGUUGUAAACUGCUUUUACAGAGGAAGAACCACCCCCACGUGUGGGGGUUUGACGGUACUCUGCGAAUAAGGAUCGGCUAACUCCGUG
rnacentral:rRNA from 1 species